UCAUCCUUUUUUUUAUUUAGUUUACUGAAUUAAUUAUGAUCAUUAUUAUGUUUAUGUAUUGUCACUGGGAAAUGUAAAUUGAUAAGUUAAUGUAUUGCAACUUAAAGGAAAAACAACACAAUUUGAAGCAAAAAUAGAUGAACAUACACAUGACAAAGUGUAAAUGUUGUGUACAGUGAAUUAAUGUGGUUGUGUUUUAUGAUUAUUGUCAUCUUUAUUGUUAUUUAUAGAUAUUUCUGGUUAUUACUGAACAGAUUUCUUUCCCUCAUAUUUUAAUUUUGAAGGUUAAACUCUUGCCCCAAGAGCAAAAGGGGUAAUCAUACUACCUGAUGUAUGGACUUUUACACCAGGCUUUUACCCUGCACGAGCUGGCCAACUUGAGGGGAACUGAAGUGGGCAAACCUCGCCCUGUCCUUGAACAAGAAAGCUGGAUUUGUUGAGAGAGUAUCAUUUAAGCUGAAAUCCAGCAUGAAACCAGGGAGGUGAUGGCCAUCGCACAGACCAUGUGCCGACUAUUCACUUUCCACCAGCUUGUGACUUGCUCCAUGAAGGGAGCAACAACUACAACUGGGUCACCAAGACCAAGCCUCCCCGCUGCUGAGAGAAAUGCAAUCAUUGAUGUCAUAGCCAAAACCUUUGACAAGCCUCUGGUUGAUGUUGAAGAAAAGAUGAGAGGUUGUUUAAGGCAUCUGCGGCUGAUGCACAAGUAGACUGAAGUCUUUGUAAAUAAAAUGUGCUGUUAAAAUGAUUAUUUAACCAUUGUUUUCACUUUGUUAUAUAGAUUUGCACCUGUUUCAACAACAUUAACUUAUUUUUAUGCUCCCGGUAGGGUCUCAUAUAGCAGUUGAACUGUCCGUCUGUCUGUCUAUCCGUCCAAAAACUUUAGCAUUGGUCAUAACUUUUGCAAUAUUGAAGAAAGCAACUUGAUAUUUAGCAUGCAUGUGUAUCUCAUUGAGCUGCACAUUUUGAGUGGUGCAAGGUCUAGGUCAUCCUUCAAGGUCAGAGGUCAAAAUCCAAUGGAAGAAACAAGGGCUGUUUGUAAAACAUGCAUGCCCCCCAUAUGGGCUGUCCGUUGUAGUGGCAGCCAUUGUGUGACUACGAUUUUUGUCACUGUGACCUUGACCUUUGACCUAGUGACCUGAAAAUCAAUAGGGGUCAUCUGCAAGUCAUGAUCAAUCUACCUAUGAAGUUUCAUGAUCUUAGGCGCACGAGUUCUUGAGUUAUCAUCCGAAAACCAUUUUAUUAUUUCGGUUAACCAUGACCUUGACCUUUGACCUAGUGACCUCAAAAUUAAUAGGGGUCAUCUGCGAGUCAUGAUCAAUCUACCCAUGAAGUUUCAUGAUCCUAGGCGUAUGCGUUCUUGAGUUAUCAUCCGGAAACCGUUUUACUAUUUCGGGUCACCGUGACCUUGACCUUUGACCUAGUGACCUCAAAAUCAAUAGGGGUCAUCUGCGAGUCAUGAUCAAUGUACCUAUGACGUUUCAUGAUCCUAGACCCAAGCGUUCUUGAGUUAUCAUCCGGAAACCACCUGGUGGACGGACGGACCGACCGACCGACAUGAGCAAAGCAAUAUACCCCCUCUUUUGAAGGGGGGCAUAAUAAGCAAAGAGAGAUAAUUUCUAUA